AUUGAACGCUGGCGGCAGGCCUAACACAUGCCAGUCGAACGGUAACAGGAAGCAGCUUGCUGCUUCGCUGACGAGUGGCGGACGGGUGAGUAAUGUCUGGGAAGCUGCCUGAUGGAGGGGGAUAACUACUGGAAACGGUAGCUAAUACCGCAUAAUGUCGCAAGACCAAAGAGGGGGACCUUCGGGCCUCUUGCCAUCGGAUGUGCCCAGAUGGGAUUAGCUUGUUGGUGGGGUAAGGGCUCACCAAGGCGACGAUCCCUAGCUGGUCUGAGAGGAUGACCAGCCACACUGGGACUGAGACACGGUCCAGACUCCUACGGGAGGCAGCAGUGGGGAAUAUUGCACAAUGGGCGCAAGCCUGAUGCAGCCAUGCCGCGUGUAUGAAGAAGGCCUUCGGGUUGUAAAGUACUUUCAGCGGGGAGGAAGGGAGUAAAGUUAAUACCUUUGCUCAUUGACGUUACCCGCAGAAGAAGCACCGGCUAACUCCGUG
rnacentral:rRNA from 1 species